rnacentral:rRNA from 1 species
GAUGAACGCUGGCGGCGUGCCUAAUACAUGCAAGUCGAGCGGAUUGAUGGGAGCUUGCUCCCUGAUAUCAGCGGCGGACGGGUGAGUAACACGUGGGCAACCUGCCUAUAAGACUGGGAUAACUUCGGGAAACCGGAGCUAAUACCGGAUAAUCCCUUUCCUCUCAUGAGGAAAGGCCGAAAGAUGGUUUACGCUAUCACUUAUAGAUGGGCCCGCGGCGCAUUAGCUAGUUGGUGAGGUAACGGCUCACCAAGGCAACGAUGCGUAGCCGACCUGAGAGGGUGAUCGGCCACACUGGGACUGAGACACGGCCCAGACUCCUACGGGAGGCAGCAGUAGGGAAUCUUCCGCAAUGGACGAAAGUCUGACGGAGCAACGCCGCGUGAGUGAUGAAGGUUUUCGGGUCGUAAAACUCUGUUGUUAGGGAAGAACAAGUACGGGAGUAACUGCUCGUACCUUGACGGUACCUAACCAGAAAGCCACGGCUAACUACGUGCCAGCCGCCGCGGUAA